UCUUCUUCUUUAUUCCUUUCUUCUUUGUUCUUCUUUAUUCCUUUCUUCUUUCUUCCUCUUUCUUCUUCAACUUCUGUUCGUCGCUCCGGCGAUUAUGUGAGAUGAUUCUGAGGUCUAAAUUGAAGAAAAACUUGGGGGAAACAUUAAUAAUUAAUUGCUAGUGGUGAUCUGAGAUCGGGAGAAGGAGUGGAUGUUGCUGUAAAUUGAAGAUAUGAUUUCUGAAGUUAGAGUUUGUGUAGAAUUGAGAUGUGAAUCGUGUUGCUGAUAGAUGAGUAAGAAGAGGGUUGUUGUUUAAUUGCCAUUAUCGAGUUGUUCUUAUGGUGAAUCAAAGUUAGGGUUUUCAUAAUAAGUUCAAGGAAGAAUUAGAAGAUGAAGAUGAUGUAAAGGGGAUUGAAUUAAUGAUGGGUUUGUUCCUAAUUAAAGUAUGGCUGGAUGUAGUGAAGUUAAUUUGAUGUUGGAGCUGUUCAAGGGGAAAAUUAAGGAAUUAGGGUUUCAUGUUCUUCCCCAAAUUGAUAAAAUAGGAUUGAGAAUUGAUUUAUGGUUCAUGGGUUGAAUCACAAAUGAAGGAGAAGAAUCUGAAGCCACUGUUUGAGGUAAUCUCUUCUUACCAAAUAGAAUUGAAUUGAAUUUCAUAUUUUGGAGUGUGUUGAAUUGCAAGCAAUGAAACUGGUGCAAAUAUAAUGAGAUGGUGGUGAUGUAGUUAAAGUUCAGUGAUUGGUAUACAUUGAGAAGAAAUAAGUGCAGAUGUUAAUGUAAAUGGGUAUGAGCAGAUGAUGGUGGUGUUAACUGAAAUGGUAGUACUAGAUAUAAGCUGGGUCUGAUGUGUAUGAAGGUGACUGUGUAUUGUUGAGGAUGAGGUGUUGAAGUCAGUAAUUAAAAAGAAUGAGAGUUGGAUUGUUGCUGAUAGUGGUGACCUAAUGGAUUCCAGGAUGUUGAGAUGGAGAUGCAAUUGGUGUUAGUUUGUGAGAUGAUGAAGUUACAGAUUGUGCAGGCAUUAAUGAAAUGGAGGUGUUGAUUGACCCGCAUCUGAAUUGUUGUGAGUAUUAUAGUUAGUGAAUUAAAAUGAGAUAAAGAUGGUAAUAUGAUUGAUUGUAGUGGUAGUGUUAUAAUGGGGACGCAGGUGAUGCAAGUAAAGCUUCAGAUGAAUGUUAGGAGGUUACAGAUAAUGGUUUUGGGUGACUGCAAUGGUUAGCUGGACUGAGGUUACAAUUAUAGAUGGGUUGUAGGAUUAAUUAGUGUAUCAAGUGCAGGCUUGCAACUGCUAUUGCAGGAUGAACCAGUGGAUCAUGGAUCUCGAGGUAGGCGUGGCUUGUCAUCCAAAGAGUUUCAGAGACAGAUCAGAGUUGCGCAGCGAAAGCUUCGAGAAGUUGAUUACGUUAUUUAGAUUGCUUCCGCUAUGUUUAUUUUGUGUUUAUAUUUUAUUUGUAAAUCAACUCACUAUUGUAUAUGUAUCAUUUGAGAGGAGUUCUUGUAUAUAUAUUUCUGAGUGGGGUUAGUUUUGGAUUAAGUUUUGUAGCAGAUUUAUAAUUAAAUGCUUAAGUUUAUGAUUUGGUUUCUUAGUG